rnacentral:rRNA from 1 species
AUUGAACGCUGGCGGCAGGCCUAACACAUGCAAGUCGAGCGGAUGAAGGGAGCUUGCUCCUGGAUUCAGCGGCGGACGGGUGAGUAAUGCCUAAGAAUCUGCCUGGUAGUGGGGGAUAACGUCCGGAAACGGGCGCUAAUACCGCAUACGUCCUGAGGGAGAAAGUGGGGGAUCUUCGGACCUCACGCUAUCAGAUGAGCCUAGGUCGGAUUAGCUAGUUGGUGGGGUAAAGGCCUACCAAGGCGACGAUCCGUAACUGGUCUGAGAGGAUGAUCAGUCACACUGGAACUGAGACACGGUCCAGACUCCUACGGGAGGCAGCAGUGGGGAAUAUUGGACAAUGGGCGAAAGCCUGAUCCAGCCAUGCCGCGUGUGUGAAGAAGGUCUUCGGAUUGUAAAGCACUUUAAGUUGGGAGGAAGGGCAGUAAGUUAAUACCUUGCUGUUUUGACGUUACCAACAGAAUAAGCACCGGCUAACUUCGU